UUUCUAUGGAUACAUCAAAGGAAAAGCUUGAAAGCAGUGCAACUAUGGGUCUACUGAGUGUUUGACCAUCCAGACUGCAUGUCAUCCUUGCAUAAAUUAUACUGCCACCUAGUGAUGAAGGAUAAGCAAGGGAAUAUUUGCUGGAGACUAACGAUGAUUCUGAGAUAUGGCAGGUCGAUUUUGGCUGUGGAUCUGGUAGUCUUCUUGAUUCGCUGCUAGAGCAUCGAAGAGUUCUUGAACAGAUUAUUACUGCUGGCAUUGCUCGAAAAGGCCUCAAAGGAGAAGCAGAGGUCCUGAACAUAUCCGCUGUGUUCGCUUGGCUGUGGCUGAUGGCUGGUGCUGAUUUGUUAUGAGACAACAGUACUGCUGACUGACUGGUAGCUAGUGGCUGGUGCUGAUUUAGUAUGAGAGAACAGUACUGCUGGCUGGUUGGCUGACAAGCCAAGCGAACACAGCGAUCAUAGACUCCUAAUAGUUGUAGUUCGUGAAUCACCCCUGGAACCAUCCUUUUGUCCUUCCCAUUGUGUUGCAUCCAGAUUUAUUUGGCCUACUCAUGAUCCCAGAAUUGCAGUUUCAGUACCUUUAGCAGAAGCUGACUUGAGCAAGAAAUCA